GGAAAUACCAGACAGGUAUUGUACAGUAGUUUAAGAAUUGUAUAUAGACUUACGUACAGCUUAGAGGCUGCGAUACGACAGCGCACCUUAGUUACGACCGAAUACGUAUACGUCAGAUGUAUACUCGGAACCCCUCGGGCUUUAUAACUGUCAAUUCCGUUUUGACGUCAUCAUUGGUCGGUGCGCCUUUGAAACUGAAGAAAAUGGCCGACGAAAUGACUUGGAGACGAUAUUUUGUAAAACUUGCGAUGUUAAGGUUGUUCAAUACAAUUGAAAUGUAGAGAAUCGUAUUGAUACCAUUGGCUAGCGAAAUUAGUCUGUGUUAGACUGUGCUGAGUUUGAACGGAAGAAACUUGCGUCUGUUGAGUUAUUCAACUUUCUUUUAGUAUUACUGGAGGAAAGUAAUACAUACCUUCACAUACAUUGUACAGUGGGGCUAACAAAACAGGAGGUCGUUCGUCUGACCAAGAUAAAAUGCAGCGAUGGUAAAAUAAAUGUUAUCAAGCGAGUCGUCGGAUACGCGUCCUUGACAACAUCGCAUGUGAUGGCAUGAAUAAUGACAUUUAUCAAUCUGAACUGUUAUAAUACAUCCUGAUCCUCUGAUCUGACAUCGCUAUACUCAGCCAGGACUGCACUCCUUUAUACAGCGAAACCCCGGCCGAGAGUCACGAAUUGUUUUAUUUGGAUUCAUUUCUAUAACAGUUUAUUUAGCAUUGGUUAGAAUAAAUCAGUAAACGGUA